UUUAAAUGGCCGCAGUAUACUAACUGUGCAAAGGUAGCAUAAUCAUUAGUCUUUUAAUUGAAGGCUGGUAUGAAUGGUUGGACGAGAUAUUAACUGUUUCAUAUAAAUUUAUAAUAGAAUUUUAUUUUUUAGUCAAAAAGCUAAAAUUAAUUUAAAAGACGAGAAGACCCUAUAAAUCUUUAUAUUUAGUUUAUUAUAAUUUUAUAGAAUUAUUUUAUUUUAAUAAAUAAUAAUAUUUUAUUGGGGUGAUAUUAAAAUUUAAUAAACUUUUAAUUAUUUAAAUCAUUAAUUAAUGAUUAAUUGAUCCGUUAUUAACGAUUAAAAAUUUAAGUUACUUUAGGGAUAACAGCGUAAUUUUUUUGGAGAGUUCAUAUCGAUAAAAAAGAUUGCGACCUCGAUGUUGGAUUAAGAUAUAAUUUUAGGUGUAGCCGCUUAAAUUUUAAGUCUGUUCGACUUUUAAUUUCUUAC
rnacentral:rRNA from 1 species